UACGGGGGGGGCAAGCGUUGUUCGGAAUUACUGGGCGUAAAGGGCGCGUAGGCGGCUCGUCAAGUCGGGCGUGAAAUCUCCAGGCUUAACCUGGAAAAGUCGUUCGAUACUGUUGAGCUAGAGUGUGGAAGAGGCUACUGGAAUUCCGUGUGUAGCGGUGAAAUGCGUAGAGAUCGGGCGGAACACCAGCGGCGAAGGCGGCAUCCUGGCCCUUACCUGACGCUGAGGCGCGAGAGCGUGGGGAGCAAACCGG
rnacentral:rRNA from 1 species